GACGAACGCUGGCGGCGUGCUUAACACAUGCAAGUCGAACGGAAAGGCCCUGCUUUUGUGGGGUGCUCGAGUGGCGAACGGGUGAGUAACACGUGAGUAACCUGCCCUUGACUUUGGGAUAACUUCAGGAAACUGGGGCUAAUACCGGAUAGGAGCUCCUGCUGCAUGGUGGGGGUUGGAAAGUUUCGGCGGUUGGGGAUGGACUCGCGGCUUAUCAGCUUGUUGGUGGGGUAGUGGCUUACCAAGGCUUUGACGGGUAGCCGGCCUGAGAGGGUGACCGGCCACAAUGGGACUGAGAUACGGCCCAGACUCCUACGGGAGGCAGCAGUGGGGAAUAUUGCACAAUGGGCGGAAGCCUGAUGCAGCAACGCCGCGUGCGGGAUGACGGACUUCGGGUUGUAAACCGCUUUCGCCUGUGACGAAGCGUGAGUGACGGUAAUGGGUAAAGAAGCACCGGCUAACUACGUG
rnacentral:rRNA from 1 species